GGAAUCAUUUUGACAGCACAUGUACUGAAAUUGGAACAGUACAGAGAAGAUUAGCAUGACCCCUGCAAGCAUUACACACAAAUUUGUGAAGCGUUCCAACUUUUU
ensembl:snRNA U6 U6 spliceosomal RNA